AUCUAUGGCCAUACCACCUUUGAAUGCACCCAAUCUUGUCUGCUCUUGGAAGCUAAGGAGAGUUGGACCUGGUUAGUACUUGAACGGGAGAAAUUGACAAGUUGAACUUAAAAUUCUUAGGGAAUUGCCAGAGAUA
ensembl:rRNA 5S_rRNA 5S ribosomal RNA